CCUUCGAUAGCUCAGUUGGAAGAGCGUGAGACUGUAAUUGGAUGCUUAUCUCAAUGUCGCUGGUUCGAUCCCGGCUCGAAGGA